rnacentral:rRNA from 1 species
UACGUAGGGUGCGAGCGUUAAUCGGAAUUACUGGGCGUAAAGCGUGCGCAGGCGGUUCGUUGUGUCGGUGGUGAAAUCCCCGGGCUUAACCUGGGAAUGGCCAUGGAAACUGGCGAACUGGAGUGCGGCAGAGGGGGGUGGAAUUCCGCGUGUAGCAGUGAAAUGCGUAGAGAUGCGGAGGAACACCGAUGGCGAAGGCAGCCCCCUGGGCUGACACUGACGCUCAUGCACGAAAGCGUGGGGAGCAAACAGG